AGUGAACGCUGGCGGCAGGCCUAAUACAUGCAAGUCGAACGGCAGCACAGCAGAGCUUGCUCUGUGGGUGGCGAGUGGCGGACGGGUGAGGAAUACAUGGGAAUCUGCCCAGUCGUGGGGGAUAACGUAGGGAAACUUACGCUAAUACCGCAUGCGCCCUUCGGGGGAAAGCCGGGGACCUUCGGGCCUGGCGCGAUUGGAUGAGCCCAUGUCGGAUUAGCUAGUUGGCGGGGUAACGGCCCACCAAGGCGACGAUCCGUAGCUGGUCUGGGAGGAGGAUCAGCCACACUGGAACUGAGACACGGUCCAGACUCCUACGGGAGGCAGCAGUAGGGAAUAUUGGACAAUGGCGCAAGCCUGAUCCAGCCAUGCCGCGUGAGUGAAGAAGGCCUUCGGGUUGUAAAGCUCUUUUGUCCGGAAAGAAAAGCAUCCAGUUAAUACCUGGGUGUCCUGACGGUACCGGAAGAAUAAGCACCGGCUAACUUCGUGCCAGCCGCCGCCGUAAUAC
rnacentral:rRNA from 1 species